GUGUUCCAUUUGGCAGCAUAAAUAUACAAUUGAAACUACACAGAGAAGAUUACCAUGUCUAGUGCACAAGAAAAUUCACCAAGUGUUCCAUAUUUUU
ensembl:snRNA U6 U6 spliceosomal RNA